GAGAUGAGUUCUCCCUGAGACUUAGAGUCUCCUGAAGGAACGUUGAAGACGACGACGUUGAUAGGCCGGGUGUGUAAGCGCAGCGAUGCGUUGAGCUAACCGGUACUAAUGAACCGUGAGGCUUAACCUU
rnacentral:rRNA from 2 species